rnacentral:rRNA from 1 species
UACGUAGGUGGCAAGCGUUGUUCGGAAUUACUGGGCGUAAAGCGCGCGUAGGCGGCUUUGUAAGUUAGAGGUGAAAGCCCGGGGCUCAACCCCGGAACUGCCUUUAAAACUGCAUCGCUUGAAUCCGGGAGAGGUGAGUGGAAUUCCGAGUGUAGAGGUGAAAUUCGUAGAUAUUGGGAAGAACACCAGUGGCGAAGGCGGCCACCUGGCUUGGUAUUGACGCUGAGGCGCGAAAGCGUGGGGAGCAAACAGG